UGGGGAAUUUUGGACAAUGGGGGAAACCCUGAUCCAGCCAUCCCGCGUGUGCGAUGAAGGCCUUCGGGUUGUAAAGCACUUUUGGCAGGAAAGAAACGUCGCGGGUUAAUACCCCGCGAAACUGACGGUACCUGCAGAAUAAGCACCGGCUAACUACGUGCCAGCAGCCGCGGUAAUACGUAGGGUGCAAGCGUUAAUCGGAAUUACUGGGCGUAAAGCGUGCGCAGGCGGUUCGGAAAGAAAGAUGUGAAAUCCCAGAGCUUAACUUUGGAACUGCAUUUUUAACUACCGGGCUAGAGUGUGUCAGAGGGAGGUGGAAUUCCGCGUGUAGCAGUGAAAUGCGUAGAUAUGCGGAGGAACACCGAUGGCGAAGGCAGCCUCCUGGGAUAACACUGACGCUCAUGCACGAAAGCGUGGGGAGCAAACAGGAUUAGAUACCCUGGUAGUCCACGCCCUAAAACGAUGUCAACUAGCUGUUGGGGCCUUCGGGCCUUGGUAGCGCAGCUAACGCGUGAAGUUGACCGCCUGGGGAGUACGGUCGCAAGAUUAAAAACUUAAAUGAAUUGACGGGGGUCAUAGCUGUUUCCU
rnacentral:rRNA from 1 species